rnacentral:rRNA from 1 species
UACGGAGGGUCCGAGCGUUAUCCGGAAUUAUUGGGUUUAAAGGGUCCGUAGGCGGGCCGUUAAGUCAGGGGUGAAAUGCUGCGGCUCAACCGUAGCACUGCCUUUGAUACUGACGGUCUUGAGUUAUGGUGAAGUUGCCGGAAUAUGUGGUGUAGCGGUGAAAUGCAUAGAGAUCACAUAGAACACCGAUUGCGAAGGCA